GGGCGUGUAGCUCAGUUGGUUAGAGCGCAUCCCUGAUAAGGAUGAGGUCCCAAGUUCGAGUCUUGGCACGCCCACUA
rnacentral:tRNA from 1 species